rnacentral:misc_RNA from 1 species
GAUGAAGAACGCAGUGAAAUGCAAUACGUAAUGUGAAUUGCAGAAUUCAGUGAAUCAUCGAGUCUUUGAACGCACAUUGCGCCCCCUGGUAUUCCGGGGGGCAUGCCUGUCCGAGCGUCAUUGCUGCCCUCAAGCACGGCUUGUGUGUUGGGCCUCCGUCCUCCUCCCGGGGGACGGGCCCGAAAGGCAGCGGCGGCACCGCGUCCGGUCCUCGAGCGUAUGGGGCUUCGUCACCCGCUCUUGUAGGCCCGGCCGGCGCUUGCCGACACAUCAAUCUUUUUUCCAGGUUGCCCUCGGAUCAGGUAGGGAUACCCGCUGAACUUAAGCAUAUCAAUAAGCGGAGGA